GACGAACGCUGGCGGCGUGCUUAACACAUGCAAGUCGAACGGAAAGGCCCUGCUUUUAGGGUACUCGAGUGGCCAACGGGUGGGUAACUCAUGGGUGAUCUGCCCUGCUCUUCGGGAUAAGCCUCGUCAACUGGGUCUAAUACCGGCUAGGUGCCAUUUUUAGUGGGAUGGUUGGAAAGUUUUUUCGGUGUUUGAUGAGCUCGCUGCCUAUCAGCUUGUUGGUGGAGUAAUGGCGUACCAAGGCGGCGACGGGUAGCCGCCCUGUGAGGGUGGCCCGCGACACUGACACUGAGGGGCGGCCGAGAUACCUACGCGAGGAAGAAGUGGGGAAUCCUGACGGAUCAGCGCCAGGCGGAUGCAGAGGGGCCGCGGGGGGGAUAACGGUCUUAGGGUUGAAAAACAAUUUCGCUAGGGACGAUGCACUUUGUGACGGUACCUAGACAAAAAGCCACGGCUAACUACGUG
rnacentral:rRNA from 1 species